CCCUUCAUUCCCAAUUUGGAAAAAAAACUCAAUCCCUAAAUUAAUCCGCCGCUCCCUUUAUCUCAUCCAUUCGGCGCUUCACUCCGGGCAGCCGUCUUGCGCCGCCGUCGUCUCCCCCUCGGCGUCUCGCGUUGGGUGUAGUCUGCCUGCGCGAAGUCGGUGCCGCCUCCGUCUCCAGCCGACGCCGCGGCAGUGUAGCCGCCUCAGUCGGGUCUCCCCCGUCGCGUCGAGGCAGUAAACGCCCGUGCCGGCGCUGUCCCCUCUCCGGCGAGCUCGUCGCCUCCUCGGUCGACUCUCCGGGAUUCCGUCGCUGCAUGCCCGUCGGUCACUGCCGCUGUUGCGCCGAGACCAGCCCGUCGUGCAGUUCGAGCUCACGGAGCUUCUUUCCGUCGUUGCUCGGAGUCUCCGGAUGGCUCUUUCCUAAGCUAAGUCUUCCUAUCUUAGCUAUUUAGGUGGUUUCUUUAGGCAGAGUCUGUCCUUGUUUCAUAGUUUUAGAUUUAGGCAGAUUGUAGUUGUUCUUCGAAGAAAUCGGCAUAUUGAACAAUCUGGACCUUUGGCUUACAGUUUUGAACUUAUUUCUUACUGAUUGUGAGGGGUAAACAUUACUUGAAGGAACUUGUGUAUACAUGAUGGUUUCUAUAUAUGUUUUUUGUUCUCACAAGUGCAGAUAAGAAUGUGUGUAUUGCAGUGGAGAAAUUGUUGUGAUUCUUGACACAUGAUUUUUUUUCUAAUUUUAUUUCAUACACAAGGAAUGUGAAAGGGGUCCCCUAUCUUGGUUGUUACUGAUUCUUCGUCGUAGGUUUGCUAAGUGAUAUUGUUGUACUUAAGCAUGAUUGUGUAGUGGUGUUCUACAUGGAUGAAAUGAGUCAUAAGGAGAGUUGUGUGUUACUACCUCUUGAAGGGGGUUUCUGCUCUUGAGGUUUCUGAUUAGUACUUGGAAUUUCUCUUACUUACUCAACUUGCUAUGUUGCUGAAAUUUUCGAAAUAUGUGGAAGGGGGAAAUUUGAUGAGUGUGAAAGGGGUUUUAUAGGCAGGUAUUGGUGUAUUUUUUGAGGAAUUAAAUGGGCUGUCCACCAUCUUUGUUUUCAUAUUGCAGAAGAUCCCUUGUUGGUGAUCCUCACUACUCCUUUCAAUUACUUCAUUCGUCUCUUUCUUGAAGUAUAAGUACUCCCUUUAUUAAGGUUACUUGUUUGGAUGUGCAGGGAGUGAGGUGGCUGUUAGGAACAGGUGCUGCAGGUGUACAUAGUGAGGAUGCAGAGGUUUGUUGGAGGUGAGAGUGCAGAGUUGCAGCUGCUGCAGGCUGAUCUUGAGGGAGAGAGUGUUUCAGACUUUGACUUGCCCAUUUGGGUGGGAAGAAGACUACUUGGAUGCCAUUGCUGUACACGGCUGCUGUGUUGUUGCUGUUUUUAGAGGGCCUGGGCUCACUGCCCUGGGCCGACGGGCUGACCGGGCCGCGGUGGGUGCGACUUGGGCUCGGACGACAAGGCCCAAAGUUUAGCAUUCCUAAAAUUUGUAAUAGGAUAGUGUUUUCCAAGUUUUCUUUCUUUCCAUUCUCAAAUCAUAUGUGAAACAUUUAUAAAAGUUAAUAUAUAUUGUUCUCGAUCCCCCUUA